rnacentral:tRNA from 1 species
UGGCUCAGAGGUUAAAGCGUCUGCCUGGAAUGCAGGAGAUCCAGGUUCAAUCCCUGG